AUAUCACUAAGCGGAGGAGAAGAAACUAACCAGGAUUUCCCUAGUAACGGCGAGCGAACCGGAAAGAGCCCAGCUUGAAAAUCGGGGUGCCUCGCACCCCGAAUUGUAGUCUGGAGAAGCAUCCUCUGCAGUGCACCGGGCCCAAGUCCCCUGGAAAGGGGCGUCAGAGAGGGUGACAACCCCGUCGCGUCCGGACCGUGCUGCUCCACGAGGUGCUAUCAACGAGUCGGGCUGUUUGGGAAUGCAGCCCUAAGUGGGUGGUAAAUUCCAUCCAAGGCUAAAUAUUGGCAAGAGACCGAUAGCGCACAAGUA
rnacentral:rRNA from 1 species